UCUUUGCGAGAGAAGAAAUGGUCUUUUUUUCCUCCUUUAUAAUGUUUAGUGUAAUAGUUAACUAUCUUUGAAACCUGAGUUUAUAUUAUGUUGCAGGCAGAGAGGAGUUGAUCUCAACUGGAACUGGAGUGUAGAUUGAGGAAAAAAUGAGAUUGUGAUAACAACAUAGUGUGACACGUGAAGAGGCUUUAUAUGGGUCUUUGUGCACUCUGGAAUGGAGGAAUGCUUCCAUUAUAACCUGCAGAACGAAGCCGAAAAACCUUUACUCAUUGUUUAUCCAGGUUCAGUUUCCCUGCUAGCUUUACAUUUACAAUUUUAUGCCAUGGUUGGUGUGACUAAAAUGUCAUUUGUUGUUAUAAACAGUUAUUUGCAAUAGCAUUGUGCUGCAUAGUAGUUAUAGAACCGGGUUCUGUCAAGAAAGUGUCAAUUCAUAGAUUUCCUGACUUUUCUACCCUGCAUCAUGUAAAUAUGUUGAUCAUUUUUGGGUACUAAGCUUAGCAUAUUUACCAAUUGUAUUACAAGCCAUUAGCCAUAGGGGACAUAGUCACUCUUUUUUCCAUGCAGACUCAUGACAUUCAUCUAAAUGAUGCUGAUUUCCCGGAUGCAAUUUGGUCAUGAGUUAGAAUCAAGGUGGAACACAAAAUUAAAGUAGCAGAGGUACAUUGGAGCUAUGAGUUUGUUUCUGGGGGAACGAAGAAUCAUCUAGUUUUGGUAAAUAUUAAGAACCAGGGUGUAUUCAUGUGUUCUGACAUUAACAUAUUUGAUAGGCAAAUGCAAGCUUGUGGAGAAGCUGCAGCACUCCUUUACCGAUGAUAGCUAUAGCUUGUUCUUUGAUUCUAUAAGUUGAAUGAAUUUAUCAAGUUCAAUUUUAUCACCUUCCUCAGAUUUUUUUCCUUUUCAAUUUCUUAUAUUUGGUCUUUUCUUUUUGUUGAUAAAAUGUUAAAAUCUCUUGCAGGGAGUCAAGAAGUUCCAAAGUGCAGGAAGCUCUAGAAUCCACAUCUAUUAAGAUUUGUUGCACAAUUAAAAAGGAUCUGACAUGUACAUUUAGUUUUGAACCUCAGACUCUAUUCUAUCUUCUACUUGAAGACUGAUCUUUAUUUAUACUCUAUAUGAGCUGAUUUUGUUUUCUUUCUUUGUAUUGAUUUUACUGAUUCUGUUUAACUUAGAUUGAUGCUGUGCUUCUUCUCUUUGUAUGAGAUGAAUCUACUCGUGCUUUGAAUCCUUGUUAGAGAUGAUCUGUUUUGAUGUGGCAUUGGUUAUGUUUUACUUUCUUUUUUCUUGAAAGUGUUCCUCAUUGUUUGACCUUUUGUAUUUGUAGAGGGGGAGGUCUUCGUGUGUGGUCUCUUACGGAUGCUGGGUUCUGGUUUGGAUUCCCUUGUACCCGUGAAUAACAUUGCUUGUGCUGUUGCUUUCUCUGAUUGCUCAUUUUUUAUUCUUUUCCUACACCAACUAGUGAUUUCUUCCAUCUGCUGAUUUUGCAAUUUCUAAAGUAUGACACUCUGAAUUGAGCAACUGUACUUUAAUGUCAUUAAUUUAAAAUAUAUGCAGGUGUUGGUUGAGUAAGAGCUAAGCCAAACACUUGAUUCCUCUUAGGUUUUAAAAAAUGACGCCCUUGCCAAAGUUUUGGGGCCAGAUCAUUCCGGAUGUGUGCGAGGACUAGGUGUAGGAGCUCUUCAUAGUUUUGAGUUUUAAACUUUUAUAGAACAUAGUAUUCCUAUGUAUCCGUAGUUCAUACUCAGAGAAAACUAUGAACAAGGUGUUCUUAGCAUUUUGUGGUAAUUGCGUUGUUGAAAUUUAAUGGUUACUUAUGAGACUUUCAUAUUAUAGAGAAUUUA